AUGAACGCUGGCGGCGUGCCUAAUACAUGCAAGUCGAGCGAACAGACGAGGAGCUUACUCCUCUGACGUUAGCGGCGGACGGGUGAGUAACACGUGGAUAACCUACCUAUAAGACUGGGAUAACUUCGGGAAACCGGAGCUAAUACCGGAUAACAUGUUGAACCGCAUGGUUCAACAGUGAAAGACGGUCUUGCUGUCACUUAUAGAUGGAUCCGCGUCGCAUUAGCUAGUUGGUAAGGUAACGGCUUACCAAGGCAACGAUGCGUAGCCGACCUGAGAGGGUGAUCGGCCACACUGGAACUGAGACACGGUCCAGACUCCUACGGGAGGCAGCAGUAGGGAAUCUUCCGCAAUGGGCGAAAGCCUGACGGAGCAACGCCGCGUGAGUGAAGAAGGUCUUCGGAUCGUAAAACUCUGUUAUUAGGGAAGAACAAAUGUGUAAGUAACUAUGCAUGUCUUGACGGUACCUAAUCAGAAAGCCACGGCUAACUACGUG
rnacentral:rRNA from 1 species